GAGGGAUGGUUUACGAUGUGAGGAGGUAGAAAAGUCACUUUUGUCUCAAGAACCAAAUUAGGGGAGUAAAAAUCAAAAGUUUUUCCAAGUGGAGUUUGAUAAGCAUUGGUGUAGCAAGGUUUAAGGAAUCAGUUGGAUUUGUGUGUCGAUAACAUCUAAGGUCAGAAAGUAAGAAGGUGUUGGUGAGCAAUGGAAUAAAAAUUG
rnacentral:lncRNA from 1 species